CCGACUUUGAGUUAUCAUUUCUUUCUUAUAGAAUUAGCAAAAAUCUGAAAGUUUGACAACUACUUUGUGAUGGAGGCAGAGAAGCACCCCCACUAAACACACAUCACACACACGUACACACACACAUACACGCACACACAAGUACGCACCCAAACACACAGUACACACACAAGUAGACACAUACAUGCAAACAGUACAUGUGCACACAUGUACAUGCACAUACUACAUCUGCACACAUACACAUGCACAUACUACAUCUGCACACAUACACAUGUACAUGCACACACAUACACAUACAUGUACACACACACCCUCUCACAGGAGCUUGGUGGAGUGGUCUGCUCAUUUCAGCUUCUCUAUCUGCCUACUGGCCUAAGCUGAAGUCACAAGACUGCAACCUCUCCUAGCCUCAGCCUUCUGAACUUUAAGCCCAGGGAAUUGUCACUGCUCUUACUUCAUAGACAAGAGGAAAUCUUUUUUAAACCCAGCUUUCUUGGGGACACUACCCCAUCUGUGUGUAGCCACCAUUCUUUGCUUCCCAGCUGCCAAAAUUCUUGUGGCCACUACAGCUGUAGAUAAAAACAGACUGCAGGUAUAUACUGAUUCUUCCUGCUAAAGCGUUUAGGUGCUUCCUCACCUAAAUGCUUUCUAGACUCAGAUGGUGGACAAGCUAUCCUGUUCUGAGAAAGCUAAUGAAGGCCAGGCUAAAGGAACUGUCUUUACAUCAUAUUUUCUUUCUUCUCAAAUGUAUAUGUACAAACGUUGAUGCUUUUCCUUUCUUGUUGUUGUUGUUGUUGUUGUUGUUCACAGCUCAUGGAAUUCCACUUAAGGGAAACUCAUAUAAAAUGCUCUAAUUUUUAAAAAUAUUCUGCAGCUUUUUCAUUCUCUGUCUUCAAAAAUAUGCCAAGUUGCCUCAGUAAAGAAUGCUGUUUUGUAUAUCAUGCCUGAUUGAAAAAAUUCUGCUCAACGAUGAUUGCAUGAAGAAUGGACAGUCCACCCUCUCAUCCAGAUGGCCCGAAAGGUGCCCUUGGUGUCCAUCAGACUGUCAGACUGCUGUUUACUGGGGCAGCUCCCAGGGUCUCUGCUCUUCUUUUGAGUCUGCACCACCGACAUCCUUUUAAGCUUCAAUUGGAGCUCCUGAUGCUUGCGAGCAAAGGAUAAAAGCUGCUGUGGAAGGAUGCCUGUUUGCAAGGAGGAAAGAGCGAGCUUCCUGCUUCCCAGGUCCCUGGCAUGCUCCCCCUGGUGGAAAGGCACUCCCUCCAAACUCUUGGAGAGGACUCAGGCUAAAAGUGGCAAGCUACUUCCAAGUUCCAGGUGACCCAUAGGCUGUGAUGUGAGUCUUAGCUAUCUUUUAAGUACUACUAUAGUUCUAUGAUUAGUUCAGGCACAACUCAUCAUCUGAGAGCCACUCAUUGCAACGUGGAGUUGCUCUCUACCUUAGUGCACAAACUGAGAAGGACGCUUGGCUUUUGAGACAACGUGGUGUUUAAUCACCAGGAUAAUAGAAACAUCACAAAAUACAGUAACAGGAUGGCCCAGGGUGAGAGAAGCAAAGCGUAUGCAGAGUCUGGCUCAUACUUGUACGGCUUCCCUGCCAGCACAGUCUUCCUCUCGAUCCAAAGCAGAUAAUUGGACAACUCGGUGUACACUCCAGGCAUGUUCUUCUGGCCACAGCCCACACCCCAGCUGAUAAUACCCAGCUGGUACCAUGUGCUUUUGUUUUUUUUCUGGCAAACCAGAGGCCCCCCUACUGUCACCCUAGGAAAGAAAGGUUGUUUGGGAGGGGAAGGGGCAGGAACAAGUUACUCCUAUAGCUUACUGAGGUGCA
rnacentral:lncRNA from 1 species